rfam:Faecalibaculum rodentium strain Alo17, complete genome.
UUCAUGGUAACAGGCGUUCUGAAAGAAGCCGGCGGCAAAGUUUCGGCCCUAGGAACACGAAUUGCAUCAGGCCAUAUACGGAGAUGAGCGUGCCAACCAGCGCAAAUCGUAACAGCUGCGGGAGACUGUAUAGGGUAAAUGCGACGGGAAGAUGGAGUGAAAGAUGUAUGAC